GUGUCAGCCGCCGCGGUAAUACGGGGGGGGCAAGCGUUGUUCGGAAUUACUGGGCGUAAAGGGCCAGUAGGCGGCCAACUAAGUCCGACGUGAAAUCCCAAGGCUUAACCUUGGAACUGCGUCGGAUACUGGAUGGCUUGAAUUCGGGAGAGGGAUGCAGAAUUCCAGGUGUAGCGGUGAAAUGCGUAGAUAUCUGGAGGAAUACCGGUGGCGAAGGCGGCAUCCUGGACCGACAUUGACGCUGAACGGCGAAAGCUAGGGGAGCAAACGGGAUUAGAUACCCCUGUAGUCC
rnacentral:rRNA from 1 species